CGAAGUCUCUAUAGAUUCCCUCUUCCUAUGUCCUUGGCACUUUACUGACAAUGAUCAUUGAUCUAACGCAUUUUGGCUUGGUCCCUCAUCGAGUUUCCUUAUCCCACGAAUCCUGCAACCACAAGUCAAGCAUCGAUAAGCCCCAAAAUAACUUAGUGAGUCUCCUAAUUGGAUUAGUUAUACUUAAACUUCGUCUUGCAGGGGUAGUAAAAGAAAAGAAACUAAAUGCAAUUGACUCCCAGUGUGACACCCCUAAAUUGACCUUAGUUGGAAAGCGGUUUCGGGACCGCUAAACCGAGUCACCAAAUUAUUUGAAUAUGAUAUUUAUUGUCUAAAAUAUGUGAAUAUGAAUGUGUGAAAGUUUUAAGCUUCGAUUUAGUUAAUUGCAUGUGAAUUUAGUUAAUAAAGACUUAUGUAUGACACUUUUAAAAUGUGAUAGUUAAUCUAUAAUGAUCAAUUAGUGCAUGUCAUAUGAAUAAAGGGUUUGCAUGUCAAAUAUCCAUUAUUAAUGAGUAGUGGCCGGCCAUGGAUGGGUCAUUGAUGAUAAUAUGAAUUCUUUUAUUAGCACUAUGAGUUUAGAAAAUAAAAGAAUGAAUUAAGAAUGAUAAAACAUGAGGUGAGUGGGAGGAAAAACCAAAGUUGUCUCCCCCUUACUCCCCAUUGCCGUGACUAGUGAAAGAGGAGAAAAAUAAAGUUCUUUCUUUGUUGUUCAACUUGGCCGAAUAGAAGAAACAAAGGAGGAGAAGAAUUUCUGGUCACUUGAGUCAUUAAAAAGCUCAAGAGCUUAGAGGACCAAAGUUGGAUAAAGGAAAGGAAAAAGUGAUCGAAUAGCCGCCGAAAUCGUUCGACAACAUCCGAGGUAAGUUUUAAGUGAUUAAACGUUGAGUAAAUUCAAUCAUAAUAGGACAUGAUGAGUUGAUUUAAUAAGAUAUGAUGUGGCCAUGAUAUGUUCUAAGCUCAAAUGGUAAGUUCUUAAGUGUUUGAGCUUGAGAAUUUAAGGGUAAUUUGAAAUAGUCUGCUUAGGACAGCAGCAGUAACGUGACUUUAGAAAAUCACCAUAAAUUUAUGGAUUUGAAUUAGAGGCUGAAUGAGACAUGAAAUUAAAGCUUAAUGAGUCUAGUUUCUUAUAAAAGAAACCGUGUAAGCAAAGGAAUUUCCGAUAAUGAGAUACUUAAAGUUGUGUGAGACAGCGCAGAAUGACACUGUAAUCCUCUGUUCUGUUUUUAGAAAAUCAUUAUAAAUUGUAAAAAAAUGGUUAUAAGAUAAAAUUUAUAUGCUUAGACUCCUUAAUGAGUCUAGUUUCAAAUGAAAUCAAAUACAACACAUUUUGAAUUCUGUAAAAUGAGAAAUUUGAUUCGUAGUGAAGAGUGGUCAGAUUAGUCAAACAGUGAAACAGGGGAAACUUUAAGAAAAAUCUGGUAUUGAUUGGCCAAACCUAAAAUUCUGGAAAUUUUAUGGAUGGAAGAUAUACGAGUCUAUAUUCAGGAAAAAUUAACGGAAAGUUAUUUGGAGUUUUGUAGCUCCAAUUAUAAAUAAUUUAGUGACUAUUGCUCAGGAAAAACAGCUUGUGCUGAAUUUGAGAUUGUGUUGUAAACCUUGAUAAACUUGUUUUAGUUGCUCAUAAGCUAUUGAUUAAACCCAUACGUGAAUUCUAAAUUGUGAUAUUGGAAAAUGAUAGAUGUAGAUUCAGCCAAGACAGUGUGUAUACGUGAAAGUAUAUGUGGUAUGUGAAGUAUAUUUGGAUAAUUGUGAUGUGAAUACAUGAAAAUCUAUAUUUUGAUUUAGGAUUCUAUGUGAUGGAUGUGAACAUGUAUAUAUGUGAUAAGGCCUAUGUGACAGGGCCGAGUGGCCAAUGUGAUGGAUGUGAAAGUGUAUAAAUGUGAUAAGUCCUGAAGGGCAUUUGUGUCAGUACUAUAUCCGGGUUAAAACCCCGCAGGCUUUAUGCGAGAAUAUUAUCACUGAUUAAUGUCCGUAAGCUUCGUGCUCGUACUAUAUCCGAGCUCUAAAGACCCGAUGACUACGUGUGGAGAUUAUGUCCGGGUAAGACCCGAUGACUACGUGUGGAGAUUAUGUCCGGGUAAGACCCGAUGACUACGUGUGGAGAUUUUGUCCGGGUAAAACCCGAUAACUUCGUGUGGAGAUUUCGUCUGAGCUAAAGGUCUCACCGAUAAUCCGAGUAGAGGUUUAAGCUAUAAGACUUCGUAAUAAGAAUUGCUUAUAAAUAUAUUCAAUGCGAAAGGUUAAACAGGUAUGUACUCCAAGUUUAUAUGUGAGCUUGAUUUGCAUUAAAUCAUAAGGUAGUUAUGUGAUGCAUACGAGAGCAAUCUAUGAGACUAUUCCUAUGAUUAUGUGACGUCGGAUCAGUGUGAGAGGUUAUGUGAAAUCAUACGAUAUAUCUAUGUCACAUGAGCUCACUUUUAUGUGAAAGUUUAUCUGCCUAUUGUAUAUGAUGAGAUGUGCAUAUUCCCUAAAGGGAUGGUAUGCCCGAAGGAAGAGUGAAAUAAAAAUACGAACAACUAUGUUAUAAUUUGAUUGUUAUCUGUUGACACUGCUUAAAACUUACUAAGCAUUGUAAUGCUUACUCCGUUUACUCUGUUUCCUCUGUUUUAUAGAUCUCAUUGCGAAGCUACAGGCUCGGGGAUCGUCAGCAACUAGUCACACUAUCACUAUCCACUGCUUGUUACUGUUAUGUUUAGAACUAUUUUAUGGCAUGUAUAGAAUAGACUAGUGGCGGAAGAAUAUUUUUGGUUAAUGUAUAUAAGCCAUGCGAAAAUGGUAUCUUUUGAAUGUUUACUUAGUGAAGUUUAAAUUUUAUCUCUGGCUGUGCUUAGUACUUAUUUAAAUGAAUGAUCUUUAUUUCAAGAAAAAGUUUAAAAUUUUACUGUUCUGACAUGAGUUACAAGUCCGGUAAUGCCCCUUACCUAUUCCGGCGACGGUUACGGGAUAGGGGUGUUACACCCAGCUUGUGCGAGAGAAUUUCUCUUAACCCGACUUAGUGGCUUUGAUUUAUUCCCAAUCCCAUCCAUUGACGGAUAGAUCAUUAUGCGAUUUCUUCUAGCAAUCCUAUCAACCUUCGAUCAAUCUUGAUGGUUCCUUAGAUGUCUCGCCAUCUCCGCGGAAUUUGUCAUUUCUUUACUCCUAUUCAUUCUUCCACUUAUCCCUAGUGUGGAUUCUUCUUUCCACCAUGUUCUUAUAAGGUAGUCCUUUGGCCUACCCUCUUAAUGGCCCUUGGGUAUGUCCCCCUUGGUGAUCAUUCCAAAUCUGUUAGUCCAUGGCAGACUCCUUUUCUUACUAUAGUCCUGAAGGACUCACUGACAUCCCAUCUGUUGGGAUAACUAUUGAGGUUCCCUGCUACUCUAGCAGUUUCAUCCCACUUGGAAUGAGUAGUGAUUAGUUUACUUCUUUGUAAUCCACAUUGUUUACAAUACCAUACUUAUAAGUGUAACAUGUCCGUCUUUUGGGAAUCGUUUGGACCUAUUGUAUCUAGUAGACUAUCACUUGAGUGACCUUUUGAGUUUACAAUCCCUUUUAUCUGAUUGUUCCCUAUAGAACUAGCUCUUGGCAGGUACCUUGCAAUAUAAUCCUCUUAAAGAGGAAUAGUCUCGACAGAUAAAUCUAUCACUCAAUUUAUCCUUCCUGAAACCUUUUUUUGUCAAUUAGUUCUGUCUAACUCUUUCUUUAUCGAUUAGUCAGUUCAGAGUAUCGAUGAUCAGUCCUCCUUUUUUAACAUUGGCAUUGUAACACCCCAAAAUCGGCCUAGAAGUUAUGGUAGGAUCUAGCGAAGUCACAUGAUAGGGUGUUUAAAAACCGUGUCGUCGCGUUAAAACUAUUUCCAUUGAAUUCUUUAUCUUAAUAUCUUAUUAGUUCCAAAAUUGUGUUGCUCAUUUAAUCGAUAGUUUCAAAACGUUAUUCAUUUGCGGAAGCUUUUAAAAUAGAUUAAAAAAUCGUGCGUUUAGGAAAAAAAAUUGUUUCUUUUAAAAAUCGAGGUUUCCUACUACUAGCAGUUGUAAUCUAUAAGGUAAAGAUAAUUAAAACCCAAAACCAAAGUCCGAAAGUCCAAUUACAACCCAAAAACUUAGCCAAUAAAAAUAGAAUAGAAAUAAAACCAAUUAUCGUAAAUAUGGGUUAAAAACCAUGAAAGUCAAAAACCGUGGUCACUGCCGAGUCCUCCGCCGCACCGAUCCGUCUAGAUCUGGGGAUUAGAUGUGCACAUUUAAAUAAAAGGGGUAAGUUUACGAAAACUUAGUGUGUAAUCCCACAUAAAACAAACAAUAGCAUAUCACAGUAUACAGUUAACGCAGUCCUGGGCCUAAGCCCUUUUUCAGUAUCAGUAACAGUUUGAGCUUUAGCCCAUCUCAGUACAGUAUCAAAUAUGCAGUAGGGCCUUAGCCCAUCACAGUAUUAGUAGCAGUCAUGCAGUAUUCAGUAACAAAGUCCUACCCAACCAGCCUCUACACACCAUCUCCGUCCAACCCUACACUCCAUGUGGGGAUCAAAUCAACCCACCCAUCCCUACACUUCAGGUAGUACCGAAUGCGGUACAAAACAGUAAUUUACAGCUGAGCUACUAGUAUGUUAGGCUUAAGAGCCUCUCAGUACACUUCCUCCAAAUAUAAUUAACCCAACCCCAUGCAAUGUAACAUACAAGUCAUGAUAUGCUAUCUCAGGACAUCAGUACAUAUAACCAGUUCAAUAUACAAGCAUACUAUCAUCAUGCUCAACAUAUAUAUAAUAAAAUAGUCAGUUCGUACAAUUAGAGGUCUAAGUGAUGCUUAUCGACCUUAUAGUAGGUUCAUAGUUGACUUGGGCGUAGAAGUGCUCAUGCCGGGCCCAAAAAAAAUUUUCAGCCCGAUUGCUAUGCCCAGGCCCGGCCCAGCCCGAAAUAUGGACCUGAGAUUUUGCCCAGGCCUGACCCGUGGAGAAAAUAUGAAGCCCGGGCUCGGACCGGCCCGGCCCAUUUUGCUUUAAAAUCUGGAAUUUCUUUCGCAUAUCAUAUUCUUCUGGAACAUUGGACAAAUGCAGGUCCAUUCAAUUAUUUCACAAGAACCACCACCACAUUCCAAUCUGUUAAAAAUUCUCCAAUAAGAGAUUUAGCCAAGUCACUAAUUAGAUCAUGCAUGAGAAAAUAAGUACCCUCCAUCUCGAUUGUUAAAAAACUGACCUCAAUCUCAAAUCUUUGAAGUAGCCAUCCACAAACGAAUGAGUUUUUCAAUUUGAAAUUCAUAAUGUUUAGGAAAAUAUGAAUAAUAAGCAAAGCAACACUUUAAAUAUGAUGAAAGAUGAUAAUAACUCAAUUUGAAUGCUGGAAGAAUAUUGCAUGUAUCAUCAGGUAGGCCCCAAAAAUUUCUAUGUAAUAUUUUACACCGUUCAAUAGCAUCUAGUUUACAACGGAGAAGACCUGCAAGUGUUUUUACAGCCAAAGGAGACCAUCAAAUCUUUUAACAAUUGCAACAUUUUUCAAUCUUGAAACUAGAAGAAUAAAAAAUUCUGUAUAUGACUAUUAAAUUAAAAAUAAAAAUAAAAAUAGAAAAGAUCAAGAGAAUAAAAAUAAAAAAUCAUUUCAAGCUUGUGAUCUCAAGGUCAAGAGAGACUGGUGUUUUUUCUCAUACUUGACAAAAUCAAACUGUAUUAUAAUUUCAUACUUGAUUUCAAUACAAGAAAUUAUACAUGUAAAUAUAUACAUAUUAGAAACUAACAUAUACAUAUAUCAAUUCAUACUAAAUUUCAAAAUUAGAUCUUAUACAUGUAUAUAUAUAUAAUCGAACCUCAUAUACUUAUAUAAUGACAUAUCUUAAUUCGAUACAAAAUCAUAUACAUAUAUAUAUUUGCAUCCUUAUUCGAAACUACUUAAACAAGUAUAAUAUACAUAUUAUAAAUCCAAUCCAAAGGUUUAUACAUGUAUAUACCUAUGCAUUUAUUCGAACCUUAUGUACACAUAUAUAUACAUACCUUUGAUUAAACCAAUAAUUUAUACAUGUAUAUACAUGUGUGAAUUCGAACCUUGUAUAUAUAUAAACUUUAUACUUCAACUAAAUUCAAUAACAUUUAUGUAUAUACUUAUAUACCAUUCAUACUUUAACUAAAUGCAAAGGCCUAUAUAAGUAUAUACCUAUAUGUUCGAACAUUAAAACAAUAUAUUAAUCAUUCAUACUUUAAAUUUAUUCAACCAAUAUACUUUAAAUUAUAAUUCAUCAAAGUUGAAUUAUAACCAAAGUUGAUAACCAUGCAAGAUUUACUCAAUUUGUCUGAAAAUCUUAAGCAGAAGAUUCUCCGAAUUGCUGAAAACAAAGCAAGAAUUCAUGACUCUUAUGUUGAUUUUGAAGCUAAAAUUGUUUAUAAGAAUGAGUUAAAUUGUGAGUAUUCGAAUAUAUGUUCUGGCAAUGAAUACUUUAGUCACUUAAUCUUUAUAUCAUUACUCCUUAAUUUAAUAAUUCAAACAAUAUCAAUAAUAAUGUAAGCCCAAUUCCUAGCAAAGUUACUGUCAAUCAUAUGUUUCAAUAAUCCUUCAUUCAUACUUCACUCACCAUUUCUCAAUAUGUAAAAAGUAAUUUUCAUUUUUUCUUUCUCUAGGUCUUGAUAGAGAAGACAAAAAAUUUGAAAAAAAAAGUAAUUCUAAUCGAUGGAUUACCAUGUAAAGAUAAAAAAGAGAAGAAGAUUAAUAAUUUUUUAAAUAUAUAUUUUAGAACUAAUUCGCAUAUCUUAUUCUCUCUGUUAUAUCACUCCAUUUUAAAAUGGUUGCUUUUAUGCAUUAAGAUGAUAACCAAAGAUGAAUUAUAACGAGCAAGUGCCACAAACAGAUGAAUAGACCAAGAUACCCUUCUAUCUUCCAUAGUUGAGAGACCUUAUCCUCCAGGAAAAACAACAUGAUCAGCCAAUCCAAAACAGGACAAAAUCCAGAACAGUCCAACAUUUUAAACUCAACAGAUACCAGAAACAGCUGUCUCUCUUAGUAUUUGAACUCAACCUUUAUGUAAAACUCAAUUUUAAAAUAGUUCGAGAACACAAUCAAAAUCAAAAUCCCCCUGAUAUGUAAAGUGUAAACACAAACAAAAUCCCCCAAGAUUAAGUGUCUCAAAAUCAAAAUCAGAACACCGUUAACAGUAAAAAUCAAAAUCACAACCAACAUCAAAAAGCAAAAAAGGGAGAAGACGUUAAAAAAUUAGGAAACUGUUAACAGGAAACUCACCUUUGAAAUUCAAAGGUAGAAGAUGUUGAAGGCUAGAUUCGCAGGAAGCACCGUUAGAACGGAGGUGGAGUUGUGGAAGGCCGGUCACCGGAGGUGGAAUGGUGGAUCAGACGAGGUGGGUUUCCGAUUUGGGGGAAAAAAAGGGAAGGGAAGACGUUAGGUUAGGGAUUUAUCAGAGACAGAGACACGGGGUCGGGGAAAUGGGGAGGGGAAUUGGGAAUGAUAAAUGUUAAAUUGUUAAUCU
rnacentral:lncRNA from 1 species